ACGGGAGGCAGCAGUGAGGAAUAUUGGUCAAUGGGCGGGAGCCUGAACCAGCCAAGUAGCGUGGAGGAUGACGGCCCUACGGGUUGUAAACUCCUUUUGCCGGGGGAUAAAAAACGGGACGUGUCCCGUCUUGCAGGUACCCGCGCGAAUAAGGACCGGCUAAUUCCGUGCCAGCAGCCGCGGUAAUACGGAAGGUCCGAGCGUUAUCCGGAUUUAUUGGGUUUAAAGGGUGCGCAGGCGGCGUUUUAAGUCAGUGGUAAAAUCGUGGGGCUCAACCCCAUCCUGCCAUUGAUACUGGAGCGCUUGAUUGCGGUCGAGGUUUGCGGAAUUCGUCGUGUAGCGGUGAAAUGCAUAGAUAUGACGAAGAACACCGAUUGCGUAGGCAGCAGACCAGUCCGUAAAUGACGCUCAUGCACGAAAGUGCGGGGAUCGAACAGGAUUAGAUACCCUGGUA
rnacentral:rRNA from 1 species